UUACACUUCACCUAGCCCAACCAACCCCACCAACCACCUAACCUCACAAACAAACCAUUAUUACACAAUUAGUAGUCCAAACCAUGCGAUCGAAAAUUAACCCGAAGCUAUAGAAGCAGUACCGCAAGGGAAAAGUGAAAUAAUAAUAUCACACACGUAUAAAAAAGCAGAGACUAAUCCACGUACCUUUUGCAUCAUGAUUUAGCAAGAACAUCCGCCCAAAAUGACUUCCAGCCCGCCCACCCGAAAUCAAGUGAGCUACUUCCAGGCAAUCUAAUAGGACUAACCCACCUCUGUUGCAAAAGAGGGGGAAGACCCAGAAGUAGAAGUGAAAAGCCAAACGAACUUGAUGAUAGCUGGUUGCCUGACAAAUGAAUCUAAGUUCACCCUUUAGCCCCCACCCGCAAACAAAAUAGCACCACCCACCAACUAAAGGUAUACUCAAUAGUGGAACACCACCAUUGAGACAGGAGACAACCUGAACCAGAGAGACACCCCCAAACCCACAUCCACCCGUAGACCUCAAAACAGCCACCAAAAACAAAAACGUUACAGUUCCUACAAUAAAAAUACCCCCAACUGCCCCCCUCUCCUGUUAAACUAUCAGGCCACCCUAUACAACUAUAGAGGAACUAAUGCUAAAACAAGUAACAAGAAACCUUCUCUAAGCACAUCCUUAAGUCAACAUAAACACCAACUGACAAUUAACAGACUAACAACUCAAUCACCAACUACCCCUGUUAACCCAACACAGGAGUGCAACCAAGAAAGAUUAAAAGUUAAAAAAGGAACUCGGCAAAUCUUCUAUUCCGACUGUUUACCAAAAACAUAGCCUCUGGCAUUCAUAGUAUCAGAGGUAAUGCCUGCCCAGUGAUAUUUUCAACGGCCGCGGUAUCCUAACCGUGCAAAGGUAGCGCAAUCACUUGUCCCUUAAAUAGUGACUAGUAUGAAUGGCCACACGAGAAUAGACCUGUCUCUUUUAACAAAUCAGUGAAACUGAUCUCCCAGUACAAAAGCUGGGAUACUAACAUAAGACGAAAAGACCCUGCGGAGCUUCAAUACUACCCUACCCUCCUUAGUAUAAGUAUUUCAGUUGGGGCAACUUCGGAAUCAAACUAAACUUCCGAUCAACUCCGGAAACACCGUUACCGAGACCAACAUGUCAAACCCCCGAACAAGACCCAGUAUAUACUGACCAACGAACCAAGUUACUCCAGGGAUAACAGCGCCAUCUUCUUUUAGAGCCCCCAUCGACAAGAAGGUUUACGACCUCGAUGUUGGAUCAGGACACCCCAAUAGCGCAGCCGCCAUUAAAGGUUCGUUUGUUCAACGAUUAAAGCCCUACGUGAUCUGAGUUCAGACCGGAGCAAUCCAGGUCGGUUUCUAUCUACGCACUAUUCUCCUCAGUACGAAAGGACCAAGAAAAUGGGAUCUAUACUUCCAACAAGUCCCUAACCCAGCUGAAACAAUAUCAAGCCCUCAGUACCAUCUAACCCAAAAACAGGACA
rnacentral:rRNA from 1 species